AACGAACGCUGGCGGCAGGCUUAACACAUGCAAGUCGAGCGCCCCGCAAGGGGAGCGGCAGACGGGUGAGUAACGCGUGGGAGUCUACCCAUCUCUACGGAAUAACGCAUGGAAACGUGUGCUAAUACCGUAUAAGUCCUUCGGGAGAAAGAUUUAUCGGAGAUGGAUGAGCCCGCGUUGGAUUAGCUAGUUGGUGGGGUAAAGGCCUACCAAGGCGACGAUCCAUAGCCGGUCUGAGAGGAUGAUCAGCCACACUGGGACUGAGACACGGCCCAGACUCCUACGGGAGGCAGCAGUGGGGAAUAUUGGACAAUGGGCGCAAGCCUGAUCCAGCCAUGCCGCGUGAGUGAUGAAGGCCCUAGGGUUGUAAAGCUCUUUCACCGGUGAAGAUAAUGACGGUAACCGGAGAAGAAGCCCCGGCUAACUUCGUGCCAGCCGCCGCCGUAACAC
rnacentral:rRNA from 1 species